AUGCGGGAGUCCGAGUUGCUGUGCGGCGCAUGGUUGGCCACCAGCCUCGAUCCGGGCCAUGGCAAGGAGCAAAAGGGCACAACCUUUUGGAGGAACAUUCACAUAUGGUUCCAUCAGCACAAGCAUUUCGCGCCCUACUCCUAUACAUUGAUUUGCAACCGUGAGUGGAAGUCCCUCAACCAUCGAUGGUACACCAUCCAAGAGCUCUCCAAGUAUUGUGGGCACUUGAAGCAUCUCAUCGCACGGUGGCCUAGCGGUGCACAAAUCACCAAGCAAGUAAGUUGA
rnacentral:rRNA from 1 species